CGAACACUUACGGGUUGCGGUCGAGUCC
rnacentral:sRNA from 1 species